UGUCCCAAUCCCAAAACACAAAUUUUCCCAAUCCUCUGCCAAAUGCCAGUUCGGCUGUGACAUAAUAAUAGGCGGAUUAGGCGGUUGAUAGACAAAAAAGGAAAACGACAUCGCUUUAUCUGGGGUCCACACUUUUGUAAUAAAAACCAUGACCGUGUCCAAAAGCAUGAAAAUGCGACGAUGAUGAGUGUAGAAGACGAAUAAACACUCUAAAAUCACCCAACCCCAAAAUGGAUCAUCCCACUCCGAAAAACCCGCCAAUCUCUCAGACCCAACAACAACAACCCGAUUCCGAUAUGGGUUUAUCAAACCCGUUGCGUGCCGGGCACCACCGCCGGGCCCACUCCGAGGUCCAUUUCCGGAUCCCAGACGACCUCGAUCUGGGCUUCGAUGGUGGGCCUUCCUCCGCCGCGGGUUUCGACGAGGAUGACCUGUUUUGUACCUACAUGGAUAUUGAGAAGCUUGGAUCCAGACCCGACGGACACGGCUCCGUAACCAAACCCGACAAUGCGGGUGAAGAAGGAGAAGCAGAGCAAAGCUCGAGGACGAGGCAUAGACAUAGCAAUUCGGUGGAUGGGGGUGCCCUCAAUUUGAUGGAUAGCAUAGAGGCCAAGAAAGCAAUGGCUCCUGAUAAGCUCGCUGAAUUGUGGACCGUUGAUCCCAAACGAGCCAAGAGGAUAUUGGCAAAUCGACAGUCUGCUGCUCGCUCAAAAGAGAGGAAAGCUCGUUACAUAUUAGAACUUGAGAGAAAAGUUCAAACCCUUCAAACGGAAGCAACGACUCUUUCUGCACAACUAACUCUGUUUCAGAGAGAUACAACAGGCCUGAGUACUGAAAAUACAGAGCUUAAGCUUCGGUUACAAGCUAUGGAACAACAAGCUCAGUUACGUGAUGCUUUAAAUGAAGCAUUGAAGAAGGAAGUUGAGAGGCUCAAGAUUGCAACCGGAGAAAUAAUGACACACAAUGAUACUACUUACAAUUUGGGAAUGCAUCAUGUUUCAUAUCCUUCAUCUUCCUUCUUUUCACAUCAGCCACAACCUCAGCCAGGUGACUCCCAGAACGUUCAAAUGCCAUCACCAUUUCAUCAAUUCCAGUCUAAUACAUCAACAGCCCAUCAGCCCCUGCUUGCUGUAGCCCACUCACACGCCUUCACAGAUAUGUUGCAGCAGGAUCCUCUUGGCCGGUUGCAGGGGCUUGAUAUCAGUGGAAGAGGGUCCCAUAUGGUUAAACCUGAAGGCACUUCCAUUUCUGUAAGUGAAAGCAGCAACUCAUUUUGAUGCAAAUUUUGCCAACCUCCACGUGGCCGUAUUUGUUGGAUUGUUCAUAGACUGACAUAUUGACAGCCGAAGGUCUUAUACACUCAUGAGUUCUCUCCCAUUCCAUUCCAAAUCUUGAGUUUUUGGGGCUUUUUCUUUUGGAAAUAGAGGGCUUUCCAAUGAUUAGAAAGAUGCAGCAUUUCAUGCCAGGCACUUCUCAAUAUUCUGUUCUUUAUGUUGUUGUUUAAAAUCAUAUUUCUAAGGGAAAAAAAAAAUCCGUUUGUUAUGCAACCUGUGAUCUCUCUCUCUCUCUCUCUCUCUCACACACACACACACACACACACAAUUGCCAUCAUCAUGGCAGAGAAACAUUUUGUUUUAGGUUAGAGUUAUAACAGUUAUAUGAUGUUGGCCCUGAAAGUAACUGACUCAGUUGUGAACUUCUAUGGCUAUCUAUUGUGGUCAUGUUAUAAUGUUGUGAAUUGUGGUGGUUUUCUCACCCUAAAACAAAAGGGAAAUAUGGUGGACGUGAUCCCCCCUCUCCCCACCCCAAAAAAGCAGAGUUAAAACUUAAGAACCAAAGCAAAUAGAGAUGGAUUGAAUAGCAAAUGCGAGAGGCAAUUCUGAUGUAUCUGAAUGCGUAAUCAGUGCCAAUAACAACUUGAAGAGCAAGGUAGCAUGACUGUUAUUAAAUCCUGAUGUAUUUAUAAUCAAUUGACUUCGAGCUGAAGCACAAUAUGGUGUCAGACUUUGAAUAUAAGCUGUACUUUUUGUUUUCAAUUUUUUAAUCCUAAAUUAAUUUGAAGAUAGGUAGGAGAGGAUGAAAACAUGAAUUCCGUUAAACAUAAUCCAAACCCAGUUUCGGAGGGAAAGGUUGUACUCUUAUUUUGUCUCUUGUUUGGCAGUGUCAAUGACAAAAGUACGGUAUUGA